UGGGUUAGUGGCGGACGGGUGAGUAACGCGUGGAUAACCUGCCGUAUACAGGGGGAUAACACUUAGAAAUAGGUGCUAAUACCGCAUAAGCGCACAGGGCCGCAUGGCCCGGUGUGAAAAACUCCGGUGGUGUAAGAUGGACCCGCGUCUGAUUAGCUUGUUGGCGGGGUAGGGGCCACCAAGGCGACGAUCAGUAGCCGGCCUGAGAGGGUGGACGGCCACAUUGGGACUGAGACACGGCCCAAACUCCUACGGAAGGCAGCAG
rnacentral:rRNA from 1 species